rnacentral:rRNA from 1 species
CCUACGGGUGGCAGCAGUGGGGAAUAUUGGACAAUGGGGGGAACCCUGAUCCAGCCAUGCCGCGUGUGUGAAGAAGGCCCUCGGGUUGUAAAGCACUUUCAGUGAGGAAGAACGCCUGGUGGUUAAUACCCAUCAGGAAAGACAUCACUCACAGAAGAAGCACCGGCUAACUCCGUGCCAGCAGCCGCGGUAAUACGGAGGGUGCGAGCGUUAAUCGGAAUUACUGGGCGUAAAGCGCGCGUAGGUGGCUUGAUAAGCCGGUUGUGAAAGCCCCGGGCUCAACCUGGGAACGGCAUCCGGAACUGUCAAGCUAGAGUGCAGGAGAGGAAGGUAGAAUCCCCGGUGUAGCGGUGAAAUGCGUAGAGAUCGGGAGGAAUCCCAGUGGCGAAGGCGGCCUUCUGGACUGACACUGACACUGAGGUGCGAAAGCGUGGGUAGCAAACAGGAUUAGAUACCCCUGUAGUC